GGGUCAGUAGGUUGGUCGUGCCACCGGUACGUACUGGUCUCACUGAUUCCUCCUUCCUGAAGAACCGUAAUGCCGUUAAUUUGGUGUUGCGGGGAAGCAGGACUGUUACUUUGAAAAAAUUAGAGUGUUUAAAGCAAGCUAACGCUUGAAUACAUUAGCAUGGAAUAAUGAAAUAGGACGAUCGAUCCUAUUUUGUUGGUUUCUAGGAUUGACGUA
rnacentral:rRNA from 1 species